rnacentral:rRNA from 1 species
GACGUAGGGCGCGAGCGUUGUCCGGAUUUAUUGGGCGUAAAGAGCGUGUAGGCGGCCAGAUAGGUCCGUUGUGAAAACUCGAGGCUCAACCUCGAGACGCCGAUGGAAACCAUUUGGCUAGAGUCCGGAAGAGGAGAGUGGAAUUCCUGGUGUAGCGGUGAAAUGCGCAGAUAUCAGGAAGAACACCCGUGGCUAAGGCGGCUCUCUAGUACGGUACUGACGCUGAGACGCGAAAGCGUGGGGAGCGAACAGG